rnacentral:rRNA from 1 species
UACGGAGGGAGCUAGCGUUUGUUCGGAAUUACUGGGCGUAAAGCGCGCGUAGGCGGCUUUGUAAGUUAGAGGUGAAAAGCCCGGGGCUCAACCCCGGAAUUGACCUUUAAGACUGCAUCGCUCGAAUCCAGGAGAGGUGAGUGGAAUUCCGAGUUGUAGAGGUGAAAUUCGAUAGAUAUUCGGAAGAACACCAAGUGGCGAAGGCGGCUACACGUGGAGCUGGUAUUGACGCUGAGGUGCGAAAGCGUGGGGAGCAAAGCAG